UGGGGAAUAUUGCACAAUGGGCGAAAGCCUGAUGCAGCAACGCCGCGUGAGUGAUGAAGGCCUUCGGGUUGUAAAGCUCUGUCUUUUGGGACGAUAAUGACGGUACCAAAGGAGGAAGCCACGGCUAACUACGUGCCAGCAGCCGCGGUAAUACGUAGGUGGCAAGCGUUGUCCGGAAUUACUGGGCGUAAAGAAUGCGUAGGUGGAUAUGCAAGUCAGAUGUGAAAUACCCGGGCUCAACUUGGGUGCUGCAUUUGAAACUAUAUAGCUAGAGUGCAGGAGAGNAAAGCGGAAUUCCUAGUGUAGCGGUGAAAUGCGUAGAGAUUAGGAAGAACACCAGUGGCGAAGGCGGCUUUCUGGACUGUAACUGACACUGAGGCAUGAAAGCGUGGGGAGCAAACA
rnacentral:rRNA from 1 species